GAUGAACGCUGGCGGCGUGCCUAAUACAUGCAGGUCGAGCGAACGGACGAGAAGCUUGCUUUUCUGAUGUUAGCGGCGGACGGGUGAGUAACACGUGGAUAACCUACCUAUAAGACUGGGAUAACUUCGGGAAACCGGAGCUAAUACCGGAUAAUAUUUUGAACCGCAUGGUUCAAAAGUGAAAGACGGUCUUGCUGUCACUUAUAGAUGGAUCCGCGCUGCAUUAGCUAGUUGGUAAGGUAACGGCUUACCAAGGCAACGAUGCAUAGCCGACCUGAGAGGGUGAUCGGCCACACUGGAACUGAGACACGGUCCAGACUCCUACGGGAGGCAGCAGUAGGGAAUCUUCCGCAAAGGGCGAAAGCCUGACGGAGCAACGCCGCGUGAGUGAUGAAGGUCUUCGGAUCGUAAAACUCUGUUAUUAGGGAAGAACAUAUGUGUAAGUAACUGUGCACAUCUUGACGGUACCUAAUCAGAAAGCCACGGCUAACUACGUG
rnacentral:rRNA from 1 species